rnacentral:lncRNA from 1 species
UGUCCAUUUCCAGGUUGGUGGACUCCGUGGCGGGGGCAUUGAAAGGUCCCUGCUACGGAAGGUUAAAGCAGCAAAGGUUUGGUGGACAGGUACAGGAUUAGGAGGGGUGGGGCAAAAAGAUUAAUCAGAUACGAUGUAAACAUCAAAUUCGAAAUAAAUAAUCCCUGGCCGGACGGAUUAGAUGGAAAGUGGCUGUCAGUGUUGGCACAUGG